UACGGAGGGUGCAAGCGUUAUCCGGAUUCACUGGGUUUAAAGGGUGCGUAGGAGGGCAGGUAAGUCCGUGGUGAAAUCUCCAAGCUUAACUUGGAAACUGCCAUGGAUACUAUCUGUCUUGAAUAUUGUGGAGGUGAGCGGAAUAUGUCAUGUAGCGGUGAAAUGCUUAGAUAUGACAUAGAACACCAAUUGCGAAGGCAGCUCGCUACACAUAUAUUGACUCUGAGGCACGAAAGCGUAGGGAUCAAACAGG
rnacentral:rRNA from 1 species